rnacentral:misc_RNA from 1 species
GAUGAAGAACGUAGCGAAAUGCGAUAAGUAAUGUGAAUUGCAGAAUUCAGUGAAUCAUCGAAUCUUUGAACGCACAUUGCGCCCGUCAGUAUUCUGGCGGGCAUGCCUGUUCGAGCGUCAUUACGCCCCUCAAGUCCCCUGUGGACUUGGUGUUGGGGAUCGGCGAGGCUGGUUUUCCAGCACAGCCGUCCCUUAAAUUAAUUGUCGGUCUCGCCGUGGCCCUCCUCUGCGCAGUAGUAAAACACUCGCAACAGGAGCCCGGCGCGGUCCACUGCCGUAAAACCCCCCAACUUUUUAUAGUUGACCUCGAAUCAGGUAGGACUACCCGCUGAACUUAAGCAUAUCAAUAAGCGGAGGA